rnacentral:rRNA from 1 species
AGCGAACGCUGGCGGCAGGCCUAACACAUGCAAGUCGAACGGAUCCUUCGGGAUUAUGGGCGGACGGGGGAGGAACACGUGGGAACGUGCCCUUGGGUUCGGAACAACUCAGGGAAACUUGAGCUAAUACCGGAUGUGCCCUUCUAGGGAAAGAUUUAUCGACAUUGGAGGGUCCCUAGUCUGAUUAGCUAGUGGGUGAGGUAACGGCCCACCAAGGCGACGAUCAGUAACUGGUAUGAGAGGAUGCUCAGCCACACUUGGAGGGAGACACGGCCGAGAAUCUUACGGGAGGGAGCAGUGCGGAAUCUUGCGAAAUCGGCGAAAGCAUGACGCAGCUAUGAUGGGUGAAUGCUGAAGGUCUUAGGAUUGUAAAAUUCUUUCAGCGGGGACGAUAUUGACGGUACCCGCAGAAGAAGCUACGGCUAACUUCGUG